AUGCCCAGUAUACCAAAUGUGAACAGAUGUUUGUUCACACUGCAGGAGGUUUUUGUACGACCACUUAAUGAGUUUGUAUCACUGUGGUGGACUUUUGGUGGAGGAACCAAACUCAUUGUUCACUCUGGCCCCAUGGUCAGGCCCUCAGUCUCUCUGCUUCCUCCCUCCUCUGAGCAGAUCUCUGAGGGGUCGGCCACGCUGUCCUGCCUGCUGACCGGCUACUCUCCUCAGGGAGCCGUGGUGAGCUGGGAGGUGGACGGUACAGAGGUGACAGAGGGGGUCCUGACCAGCUCAGAGGAGGAGAAGAGUGGACGUUACAGCAGCAGCAGCAUCCUGAGCCUGAGCCAGAAGAGCUGGAUGAAAGGAGAGCUGUUCUCCUGUAAGGUCCUCCAUCAUGACCACAGACAGACCCAGUUCCUCCACAGGAGCCAGUGUGUGGACUAGAGGAGCCGACCGAAGCCCAGGACAGCAGCUGUGUGUGGGGGAGCAGGUGGAACACACCUGCUGCUCUGAUCAAUAUGAGUUUUAAUGUUUGUAGAAGAAACUAAAGCUUUGUGUGACACAGAACAAACUGCUGUAAAGUGGUGGUAACAACAACUUACAGAGUAAAAUGUGCAUCUCAGCAGCUGGAUGUGAGUGUGUAUGUUGUCGAUCAUUGUUUGCUAAUAAAGCUUGUUCUAAAUAUCAUUGAGUGAUGCUUCCUGUUAUUUUCAGAGAGGAAAGUUAUCAUUUCAAGGACAUAUAAGAUGGACAUUUAAAACAGUCUGUUGGAUUUUUAAGAUAUAUUUUCACACCUUUGUUUCAGAUUUUUAUUCAGGACACACUUUGUCUGAACGUGUUUGUCUGAACAGAACCUCAUGUUUUUCUUUCUUUC